rnacentral:rRNA from 1 species
UACGUAGGUGGCAAGCGUUGUCCGGAUUUACUGGGCGUAAAGAGCGCGCAGGCGGUCGUACAAGUCGCGUGUGAAAGCCCCCGGCUCAACUGGGGAGGGUCACGCGAUACUGUUCGACUCGAAGGCAGGAGAGGGAAGCGGAAUUCCCGGUGUAGUGGUGAAAUGCGUAGAUAUCGGGAGGAACACCAGUGGCGAAGGCGGCUUCCUGGCCUGUUCUUGACGCUGAGGCGCGAAAGCUGAGGGUAGCAAACGGG